UCGGGAAUUUUGGGCAAUGGGCGAAAGCCUGACCCAGCAACGCCGCGUGAAGGAUGAAGUAUUUCGGUAUGUAAACUUCGAAAGAAUAGGAAGAAUAAAUGACGGUACUAUUUAUAAGGUCCGGCUAACUACGUGCCAGCAGCCGCGGUAAUACGUAGGGACCAAGCGUUGUUCGGAUUUACUGGGCGUAAAGGGCGCGUAGGCGGCAAUUCAAGUCAUCUGUGAAAUCUCCGGGCUUAACUCGGAACGGUCAGAUGAUACUGCUUUGCUAGAGUGCAGAAGGGGCAAUCGGAAUUCUUGGUGUAGCGGUGAAAUGCGUAGAUAUCAAGAGGAACACCCGUGGCGAAGGCGGAUCUCUGGACCGGUUCUGACGCUGAGGAGCGAAAGCUAGGGGAGCAAACAGGAUUAGAUACCCCUGUAGUCCCUGAGCGGGCUGGCAAGGCGCAU
rnacentral:rRNA from 1 species